rnacentral:rRNA from 1 species
GAUGAACGCUGGCGGCGUGCCUAAUACAUGCAAGUCGAGCGAACAGACGAGGAGCUUGCUCCUCUGACGUUAGCGGCGGACGGGUGAGUAACACGCGGAUAACCUACCUAUAAGACUGGGAUAACUUCGGGAAACCGGAGCUAAUACCGGAUAAUAUAUUGAACCGCAUGGUUCAAUAGUGAAAGACGGUUUUGCUGUCACUUAUAGAUGGAUCCGCGCCGCAUUAGCUAGUUGGUAAGGUAACGGCUUACCAAGGCAACGAUGCGUAGCCGACCUGAGAGGGUGAUCGGCCACACUGGAACUGAGACACGGUCCAGACUCCUACGGGAGGCAGCAGUAGGGAAUCUUCCGCAAUGGGCGUAAGCCUGACGGAGCAACGCCGCGUGAGUGAUGAAGGUCUUCGGAUCGUAAAACUCUGUUAUUAGGGAAGAACAAAUGUGUAAGUAACUAUGCACGUCUUGACGGUACCUAAUCAGAAAGCCACGGCUAACUACGU